UAUUGAUAUGUCGUUGUUUAACCCUACCCUAGAUUUCGUAUAUGCAUCUCUGUAAAGCCCAAGUCAAGAUACAGGAUAAAAGAAAUGAAACGUUCGCUGAAGAGCCCUAUUUCUAUUUAUAGACAUAAUUGUCUGAAAAUCGUGUGUGGUAGCGCAUUUUCUGUGAUGAUUUCGCUGUUUUUGUAACUGGUCGUUUUUUAUCGAGGUAAGUAAGUAUUUAGCGGUAUCUGGCGUUGUUUGGGGUACAAUAUAAUUUAUUAUAGUGGCUCUAAAAAUAAAAUGUUAAAUGUUAUAAGACAAUUUGGUCUUACACCAAUUACAACUAAUGGUGCAACUUUUCGUGUUUUUUUUUGUGAAAGAAGAAAGGUUUCAAUUAUGGCUAAUUUAAAGUAACACUUGGCACUUUUUCUCGCAGCAGUGAUGCGAUUCUACAUUUUUAAAUGGCAAUAAUGCGAAAAGUAUAAACAAUUUCGAAUAGUCACGUUUUGGAAUUAGGGGAUGAAUAAAGGCUUCAAUAAAUUUUUAAAUGAAAGCGAAAAUUUAUUAAUUUAAGUAGGAUGUCCAUUAAGUGAAGAAGUUAGUAGAAGUGAAUGAGGAAAUCAAAUAUUGAUAACUAGCAUAAUUUAAAAGCAACACCCUGUUUUUUAUUUUGGUACCGGAUUUUUCAAAUAGAAUAUAAUAGGGUUAUUAAGAUAUUUAAGUAAGUUAAGAUAUUUUGUAUUUUAUGAAAUAUAACAAGAGAAGUGAAUAGUUAAAUUCAUCAUGUACUUUCUCUAUGUCUUAAAUCAAUUUUGAAGUCUACUAAAUAAAUGAAAAGCAAAAUACUAAAUUGCUCACUACUACAAAUUUAAAACUGUAAUAACCAUGUCAUCGGAACAUUUAAAAUUAUUUGCUUCAUAAAAAAAUCUAUUAAAUAUUGUUCAUGCAAAAGAAAAUAACUUUUCGGAAAAAUGAAGGAAAUUUUUAAUUCUAUAUAGUGCGGUCAGUUGUGCAACAUAUGGGAAAAUUGUUUAUUAAUUGCAUAUUCUAUAGCCAUUUUAGGCGAGUUUAAGUUAAAUAGUGUACAAGGUUGGUCAUAAAAAUAUAAAAUUUUCACUGAAUUUUUUUUUCCAAAUCUCAUUAGGGAAAGUAUUUUCGAAUUAAAAAAAAACAAGAAUAUAAAACAAUAUAAUUUUAAUACUUUUAGCGUUUUUUACAUUGGGGAAACUAUGCCGUAUUGGAAAAAUUUCCAUACACUCUUAUAAACUGUGACAUUUUUGGCAGGGAAUUAUACAUAAUAUACAGUAGCUUUGUCAUUUGAUACGGAAUAUUUGGGCUAGAGUAUUAGAGAGAGUUAUUAGAGGUUUACAAAAUUAUAUUCUAAAAUUUCUGGGUGUGGUACAUAGUUUUAAACUAAAUUUGCAGGAGCAUCUAGAUAUUGAUCGCUGUAUGUCAGAUUUUAGUUAAUUUGUUAUAAAAAAUUCUGAAACCAUCUAGUUUUAAUUUUUUACGUGUAUUUUUUUUCGAAAUAUUGCGGUAUUCAUGUCUUACCUGAUUUUCGUUAGACAAAUGUUUCAGAUGAACAACUGGAAAACAAAAGUGAUUUUGGGCAUGGUCAUGACAACCGAUAAAAAGUUAUUAGAUCUUCCAAAAUAUGAAACUACAAAGGGUACAACAUCGUACGAACGCAUGCAUAUACAGGAAAAAGAAAGAAGGUUAUUGGGAGUUGAAAAAUCUCAAAAAUGGUUAACAUAUAAUACACUACGUGAGGAAAAACUCGAACUGGAGAAGCAUAUGGUGACCGUAUCACACAUUGGACAAUUGGACGGCACUGGUUAUCAAUGUCGAAGUAUUGAAGGGAGGAGUAAUGCACAGGAAAAGAACCAUGAGGAAACAGGAAAAGGAAGGACUGAGAAACACACAGAGAAAGAAUUUAGAGAAAAAAACACAGGAAACGAAAAUAGCAAUCGAACUGAAAAUACGGAUAUUACAUAUGAAGUGGACAAGGGACCUGUAGCUAAUUCCUUAGUAGCAAUAGCAUCAAAGAACACCCCAACAGAAAGUGUAUUAAUUGAAUUAAAGACGCCAGAAUAUGGCGCCGGUGUCACCUCAAAUUUACUUGUUACCUCGAAAAGUUUAGCCCAAUUUAAUGACAAUGCUGAAAAAUCUUUUGCAGAUGAUAUGGAACAAGUAAAAAUUAAAAGGAAUUAUAAAAAAUCAAAAUUAAGAGAUCACGAAGAGGAAUAUUCUGAAAUAGUACGUAACAAAAAUUUGCAAGGGCAGGUGGAACAAUUUACAGAAAAAAAAGAAAUUCAAAAAAAAGACGGAUAAGGAGAAAAUAUGGGUAAUAUAAUUAAAAGGAAAACACAAAAAGUGAUUAAGGAAUCAAAAGGGUCUAACAAUCAGAAAGAUUACUAUAACAGCGAGUCAUCAUUGACAGACAUGUCAGAGGAAUCAUAUGAAAGCUCGGAGUCAGAAUACAUUCCUGAUACAACAGAUACAGAAAAUGAUGAUAAUUUCAUUAAAAGUACAUUUUUGAAGACUCCAAGAGAGAAAGAUAAUGUCCAAUUAAAUGGUUCAGAUUUACCAUCCACUUCCACGAGUUCAUAUAAACCGAAUAUCAAUACAGAUAGAACUAUUGUCAAUUUCGGUAAAUUUGUAGCGACGGAGUCAAAAAUAGAAAACUAUACAAACAGUAGGCCGUGGACAAAAAAAAUACAUGCGCAUAUUGCUUCAGAGAUGUAACACAUUUUUCUCGACACAUUUUAAGAAGACACAGAAAAGAAGGAGCUGUAAAGGAACUAUCCUCAAUAAAUUUAAAGAGUCCGAAGAGAAAACAGCUUAUUAAUGCUAUACGCCGGCAGGGAAAUUUUGUCUCAAACACAAAGACGAAUAUCGUUCGUCCCGUCAGAAGACCAAAAGCGCAAUACAAAAAUGACAUAGAAGUUAAUUCUGAGGAAUUAAAAGAGAGAUACGUUAUUUGUCAGAGUUGUUUGGGAUAUUUUAGCAGAAAUUAUCUGAGACGACAUAGAAAAAAAUGUGCAAUGAGAAACGAUGUUUCAAAAUUAAGUAGAGAACAACAUUUAUCACAGGCCCAGAUGUUUGCGAUUUGUACGAAAGGUGAUGGUGAAUUUUAUGAAUCGUUAAGAAUAAAAAGAGAGGUAUUUCCAUUUAUGAGAAAUGAUGACAUAUCUAGAACUGCCAUAGAAGAUCCUCUUAUAUGUUUUUACGCUGAAAGUUUACUUCGCAAACACAAGCGGAUUCAAAUAAAAAAUGUUAUCUCCAACAAGAUGAGAGAGUUGGGGCGUUUGCUUUUAAUUAUUAGAUCGGCAACAGGAACAAACACAUUUUUUGAUGCAAUGAAGCCAGAAAUGUUUGACCAUUUUGUGACGGCCACCAGGGUAAUCAGCGGCUAUGAUUCCGAAACUCGAACAUUUAAAGCGGGUAGUUUAGCCCUUCAUAUGGGAACAUCUUUAAAACAAGUGUGUGACAUAGCAACAAAGUUAGUUAUAAAGAAAAGCAAUGUGUUAUCUUAUGACAACCAAGAAAGCACCUUGAAGGAGAUAAAAUGGCUCAGAAAUUUAAUACAAAAUCACUGGAACUCUGAAAUUUCAAGUUUAGCUUUAAAAAAUUUAAAUGAAAAGAGGCAUGAGAAACCUACUUUCUUGCCUUUGACAAGCGAUGUUAUUAAAUUUCAUAAAUAUGUGAAGGAAGAAGCUAACGAUGCUAAAAAUAAUUUGUUACGAGAAAACAAACAGAAGUUCGAAUAUAAGCGUUUAUCUGAAUGCGUUUUGGCUUUGACUUUGUUACUAAAUCGAAAAAGAAUCGGUGAAAUACAAUACUUAACAGUAGAUAGAUAUAAUCACUCAAUACCGCAAACUACUCAGGAAGAAUUUUUAUUAACGCUUUCAUCAGUCGAACGAAAAUUGACAAGUGCGUUUAAAAGAGUGAUAACACCGGGGAAAGGCAGUAAACCAGUGCCCAUUUUGUUUUCAAAAGAUAUGCAAAAUUCGAUAGAAUUAUUAUUACGUCUUAGAAAUUUAAAUAUUUCUCAGGAAAAUCAAUAUUUAUUUGCAAAUCCAAAUACAGAUACAAGUGCUUUAAGUGGAUAUCAUACAAUUCGAAAACUAGCUGAAAGAUCAGGAGUUGUUGACAAAACAUUAUUUACAUCCAACCGUUUGCGAAAACAAAUAGCUACCAUUCUCCAAGUGCUAAAUAUUACGGAAACCGAGUUCGAGCAGAUUGCAAAGUUUAUGGGACAUACCAAAGACACACACGCAAGCUUUUAUCGGUAAGCACUAAAUUUGUUGCAUACAUAUCUUCUGGAUUUCUCAUGGGUCGGAUGUUGACUGUCUCGCUGACGUUUCGCCAAACAUGCUGCUGGCUUCUUCAGAGCGCCAUCUGAAACUGAUUUGAUGAGUGCUCUGCUUGCACCUCAAAUACCAGCCUGGAAGACAGGUUGAAACCUGUGUUGCGGUUUAUGUUAUUUGGGUGUUUCAUUAUUUCGUUAGACUGACUUGGAUAAAAAAAGUGUUAUAUUUUGAUUAGUUUUGCUAUUUUUUGGUCUUUUCGAAUAAAAUCUGGUGUCCUAUUUCGUAACGUUGUUCAGUAAUAGUUGAUUUAGUUAUUUGUCGGUGUUGGUGUUUGACUGAUCUCUGGUUUUCCAUUAGUCUGGUUGAUAUUUUUCGACCUAAUAAUAUAAACCGCGCCAUAGAUUUCUAGCUGCCUUUCAUUGGGGAUUUGGGGAUCGUACCUCCCCAUACCACUCGCCACUCCCCUUUAGGUAUCUAAUGUGCAUGCAGAGCCAUCACUAAAUCAAUUUCAGACAGCGCUCUGAAGAAGCCAGCAGCAAUUUUGACGAAACGUCAGCGAGACAGAGUCAAUGCCCGACUCAGGAGAAAUCCACAAAAUGUGUACCCACAAGUUCCACAGCCUGCGGAAGUAUCUUUUCAAAAAAAUUACUUAUAGCUAAUUGCAUCGCCUUGUUAUAAUUUGGUUAAGUUAAUCGGUAGUUGGAUAUUAUAUUAUACUAUUAUUAUAUUAUGACAUUAACACUGGAUGCUAGGAAUUCAUAUAGACAUACAAACGCUCCUCAUGGAGCCCUUUUUAUGUAUUAUUGUCAUCUUGUGUAGCCCACUUUACGUUGUUGAGCCCGUACUCGUGCUCAACAGUGUCAUAUGUAUGUAUAACAAAAUUAUAUAACGACUAGUACUAGAUCACAAAUUUAUUUUCUAAGGCUUCCACAAGAUAUAUACCAAACUGCAAAAGUUUCGAAAUUACUAUUAGCCAUUAAUAGUGGAAAAGGUCACAAAUAUAAAGGAAAAUCGUUAGAAGAAAUAGAGAUAUCAGAAGUUUCAGAUUCCGACAUAGCUGAACCUACUCAAACACUCGAAAGAGAAGACACAUGUGAAGAAAGUGCAACAAACUUUGAUACGGACUUUGGAAAAAAUGGUACGUUAUUGUGUAGCAACGAACAUAUCAUGGAAUAUUUUCAUUAUCUAUUACGUCUGGCUUAUUCGAAAAUAAAAUUACAUUCUCGCUGAUGAAUCACAUUUUUUAUAGAAAUUUUUAUCAAUGUCAUUCGUAUUAUCCAUGUACAUAGUACAUAGUAGUUUUUAUAUUUGUAUAAUUCUUCUGUUGUUAUUACCCAACUAACAAAUACAAUAUUCACAUUUAGUAUUAAGUAACCACACCAACGUGUCGAUCAAGAAGAAAUCAGUGCCGGCAAAAAUAAAAGAAAUUGGUAAGUAAUCAGGUGAAAUAAAAACAUAAUUGUAUGACAACUGUUUCGAAAACACCAUGGUUUUACACAGGUAUUU